UGGGGAAUAUUGCACAAUGGGCGAAAGCCUGAUGCAGCAACGCCGCGUGAGCGAUGAAGGCCUUCGGGUCGUAAAGCUCUGUCCUAUGGGAAGAUAAUGACGGUACCAUAGGAGGAAGCCCCGGCUAACUACGUGCCAGCAGCCGCGGUAAUACGUAGGGGGCAAGCGUUAUCCGGAAUUACUGGGCGUAAAGGGUGCGUAGGCGGUUUAUCAAGUCAGGGGUGAAAGGCUACGGCUCAACCGUAGUGAGCCUCUGAAACUGGUGAACUUGAGUGUAGGAGAGGAAAGUGGAAUUCCCAGUGUAGCGGUGAAAUGCGUAGAUAUUGGGAGGAACACCAGUGGCGAAGGCGACUUUCUGGACUACAACUGACGCUGAGGCACGAAAGCGUGGGGAGCAAACAGGAUUAGAAACCCUGGUAG
rnacentral:rRNA from 1 species